CUUUACUGCAACUUGACGUUGGAACUUGGCUGUAUUUGUGUGGGAUAGGUGGGAGACUUUGAAGCAGGGCCGCCAGGUCUUGCGGAGUCGUCGUUGAAAUACCACCCUGGUGCUGACGAGUUUCUAACCGUGUCCGUAAGCCGGACAUGAGACAGCGUCUGGUGGGCAGUUCGACUGGGGCGGUCGCCUCCUAAAAGGUAACGGAGGCAUUCAAAGGUCCCCUCAGCGUGGUCGGUAAUCACGCGCAGAGUGCAAACGCAUAAGGGGGCUUAACUGCGAGACCGACAGGUCGAGCAGGUACGAAAGUAGGAGUGAGUGAUCCCGCGGUUUAGAGUGGAAUUGCCGUUGCUCAAUGGAUAAAAGGUA
rnacentral:rRNA from 1 species